GUGCUUGCUUCGGCAGCACAUACACUAAAAUUAGAACGAUACAGAGAAGAUUAGCGUGGCCCCUAUGGAAGGAUGAUACGCAAAUUCAUGAAGCAAAAAAUAUAUAU
ensembl:snRNA U6 U6 spliceosomal RNA